rnacentral:rRNA from 1 species
CCUACGGUGGGCAGCAGUGGGGGAUAUUGCACAAUGGGGGGAACCCUGAUGCAGCGACGCCGCGUGGGUGAAGGAGUGCUUCGGCAUGUAAAGCCCUAUCGGCAGGGAAGAAGCAAGACGGUACCUGACUAAGAAGCCCCGGCUAACUAGGUGCCAGAAGCCGCGGUAAUAGGGAGGGGGCGAGCGUUAUCCGGAUUCACUGGGGGUAAAGGGAGCGUAGACGGCCGUGCAAGCCAGGGGGGAAAGCCCGGGGCCCAACCCCGGAACUGCCCUGGAAACUGGCUGGCUGGAGUGCGGGAGGGGCAGGCGGAAUUCGUGGUGUAGCGGUGAAAUGCGUAGAUAUCAGGAGGAACUCCGGCGGCGAAGGCGGCCUGCUGGACUGCGACUGACGUUGAGGCUCGAAAGCGUGGGGAGCGAACAGGAUUAGAUACCCCAGUAGUC